GCGCCUAUAGUGAAAGGGACAUCACCCGAGAUUCCGGUUCUCGUGUUCCAGGUUCGAAUCCUGGUAGGCGCACCA
rnacentral:tRNA from 1 species